AUUGAACGCUGGCGGCAGGCCUAACACAUGCAAGUCGAACGAGUGGCGGACGGGUGAGUAAUGUCUGGGAAACUGCCUGAUGGAGGGGGAUAACUACUGGAAACGGUAGCUAAUACCGCAUACCAUCAGAUGUGCCCAGAUGGGAUUAGCUAGUUGGUGGGGUAACGGCUCACCAGGGCGACGAUCCCUAGCUGGUCUGAGAGGAUGACAACCCAACUUGGAACUGAGACACGGUCCAGACGCCGACGGGAGGCAGAAGUGGGGAAGAUUGCACAAUGGGCGCAAGCCAGAUGCAGCCACGCCGCGUGUAUGAAGAAGGCCUUCGGGUUGUAAAGUACUUUCAGCGGGGAGGCGUUACCCGCAGAAGAAGCACCGGCUAACUCCGUGCCAGCAGCCGCGGUAAUUC
rnacentral:rRNA from 1 species